AUGGUUUACUCUAUAAUAAAGUUACACUAUAAUAGAGUAAAAUAUAGAAGAAUGUUAAGAGCAAAUUCAAAUCUAUAAUAGAGUUAUUCUACUCUAUAAUAGAGUUACACUAUAAUAGAGUAAAAUAUAGAAAAAUAUUAAGAGCAAAUUCAAAUCUAUAAUAGAGUUAUUCUAUUUUAGUAUAAAAUAUAGAGAAAAAAAAUAGUGUUCCAUUAGAGACAUCCUUAGCAAAAAAAUAAAAUAAAAAUAAUAGAAUUUGGUACUGCAGUGGUGGUGGUUAUUGCACUAGUGGUGGUUAUCGCAACGACAUUGGCGGUGACUAGAGUGCAUGGUAGUCAGUGCAUGCAUGGUGACUACGGCGGUGGUUGUUAGGG
rnacentral:lncRNA from 1 species